rnacentral:rRNA from 1 species
UACAGAGGGUGCAAGCGUUGUUCGGAAUUACUGGGCGUAAAGCGCGUGUAGGUGGCGGCGUAAGUCGAAUGUGAAAGCCCUUGGCUUAACCAAGGAAGUGCAUUCGAUACUGUGUCGCUUGAGUACCGGAGGGGAUGGCGGAAUUCCUGGUGUAGAGGUGAAAUUCGUAGAUAUCAGGAGGAACACCUGUGGCGAAGGCGGCCAUCUGGACGGUGACUGACGCUGAGACGCGAAAGCGUGGGUAGCAAACAGG